rnacentral:lncRNA from 1 species
UAACUCCUUGGUGUUUCUGCCUUACAAUCGCUCCUUAUACCCCACCCAGAUCCUCAGCACUGCAGCUCCCACUGCCACUGCCCGCUGUGAGUCACCUCCCCCUCUCCCUUUUUUAAACCAAACGGCAAGGCCAUAUUGCAGUUAUCCAUAAAUGGAAAAGCAAGAAGCCACCAAUACCUGUUUGAGAAGAUGGCAUUUUAAUUAGCACACUCCGGCUGCCAUAAACCCGGGCUCCUGCCCCACCUCUCCCCCCGCCCCCUCCUCCCCCCUCCCCCGCCGUGCCCUCUCUCAACCUCCCCGCUCACCCCCAUCUAUGUAAAAAAGCCAUAAAGCCUCUCUCCAAUCGCUUUCUCGGAGGGAGUUUUUGCAACCCCCACAACACAGGUUGAUUGGAAAGGUCUCUCUCCCGGAUAACAACAAUUCAAUGUGCCUUGACAUUUUAAUAGCCUGCCGUCCUGGUGAACACAAUCGAGCAAGGCAGUGAAGCAAACAUCAUUAGGUGGCUGGACUCAGACACAUCACGCUCCAGUUUGGGUUCCAAGGUGCUUCUCUCUGGAUUUUCACCUGCCUUGCCAAAAAUGAUUGAUUACGCUGGGCCAACUGGGUGUCCGGCAAUACCCAACAAAUGACUUUGGCCCCUAACAGCAGGUCUUGGCCAGACAGAAAUCAAUAUUUCACCAUUAAAAUCUAUCAAAGAAGAGUUAAGGCACCAUCUGUCCCUGCCGCCUCUCUAUGGUGUGUGAACAUUAAAUCCGACACUUGUACUACAUGGGUAAUCAAUAUAUAGUGGUUCACAGAUCAUUUGUGGUUCCCUUUUAGCAGUGAUGGAUGUCUGGAAUCGUUGUGAUUCAUUUUGUCAGACCAUUAAACAAGAUUCUGUCCAGUUCCUUCCUGA